AGCUGUUGAGUCCUGUUUGUGAGUUUUUCUUUUUUCUUAAUUUUGGUUUUUGAUUUUUGAGAAAAAGAUAUUGGAAGUUGAAAGGUUGACAGACUAUCAAGCUCUUUGUUAUUUGCUUGAUUGAAGACAAAGAUGAAAAGCAUGGGCAUUGGGGUCAGAUCAGGGGUCAAUUGCUGGGUUCCUCUACUUCAGAGCUGCAUGACCUUGGGCAAGGUAGUGAACUGCACUGAUCCUUCUCAUUUGCUAAGUGGUUUUAGAGUAGUUCAUGCUGGUUAGAGGGGGCGGGUGCAGUACUGUAGGCAGGAAAGGCAUCAAGUAGUUGGUAAGAGUAAAAAUAAGUUCCUAAAUUCAGGAGCAACUGUGAAGACCAGCUAGGCCUCUGGAACGACACAAAACAAGGCAGGAAACGGAGUGAUGUUGCAGAAUGGCUCCCACUCUUUGACCAUAAAAGUGAAAGGUGCCAGGAACAUCAUCAGGUUCUCCACCAAAGAUGCAUCCUGUACACACCGUACUCCCGAAACUGGACUCUGACCCCACCUGGAUAUGAAGCCACUGUAAAAGUAGCAAGUAGAGGCAGGGCCAGCCUUUAGUCUGCCCAGCUUCACUCAGGAGGUCUGCGGAGUUCAGAGGGAGUCCGGAAGAGAAAAGAUUUGGAUAUGUAUAAGCCCUGCUCUGUGGCAAGUCAGUGAUCGUCAGUUACAUGGAUGCAUAGCCAUGUUGUCUCAUACUUGUUCUUGUGGACAUCUCUGCCUGGAAGGAGCCAUGCCUGAAGGAGGAGGAAGAUCUCUCCCUGGUGCCUGGGAUAAGCUGCUCUCCACACCGAAACUAACUGCCCCCAGCAAGACUCUCCCAGCCUCCCUGGCAGUUGAGGCCACAUGACUAAGUUCCAGCUGCUGGAACCUGAGUAGACAUGUGUAAGGUGGAAUCUUCCAGAGGCUAUGAGAAGUGAUGAUGUCAUCGCUCUGGUGAUCCAUUUGUUUCCUUAUAUGAAACCCCUGAUAAUUUUUCCCACGGACUCGAGGAUCUUGGAAUGACAGAAAGGUGUGUGCUGGUCAAACCCUACUUUCCCAGUAGCU